rnacentral:rRNA from 1 species
GUCAUAAUUAUUCUUGAGUCUCUUCCUGAAGAGUUUGAACAAUUUAAGGUCAACUAUAACUCUCUAAAGGAAAAAUGGCCACUCUCUGAGAUGACCGCAAGGAUCGUCCAGGAGGAAGAAAGAAUCAUGAGGCAGAAGAAAGACCAUGUCUUUCAUGUUGGCUCUAACAAGAGAAAGCAUGACGGACAAGGUUUCCCUAAGCCUCAGAAAAGGCAAGUCAAGAAAGAAGGCACUAAGCCAUUUAACCCUAAGGCAUUCAAGGGUAAAGAAGCCGGUGGUUCUUCUUCUGCUCCUAGCAGCUCCACUGCUGGAGAAAAUGCUUGUAACUUCUGCAAAGAAGAGGGACACUAUCAAAGGGACUGCCCAGGCUUUCUAAAAUGGAUGAACAAAAGAGGGAUUCGAUACGAUCCAAACCAU